AAGGAUCGGUGAUUUAUGACGUUAUAAAUAUUUAAUUUAUUAUUUUUAAUAUUUAAUUAUUUAAAAAUAUAAUUUUUAUAGAUAUAAAUUUUUAAAUUUUAUUUUUAUAAAACUAAUUUGUGUUAAUAAAAAAUAAAAUCAACUAAACAAAUUUUAAGCUAUUGAAUUUUAAGAUAAUUUGAUCACACAAAUUUGACCGAUUUGAUUCAAACCGGACAGGCUCACCGAUACAAUGGAUGAACUAUUGGAUCGGCUGGAUCAAAAUAAUUUUUUGACUUAUUAGAUUUAAAUGGCUGAAUCGAACCGUUUUAUAGGUUAAGUUUCAGUCGUACCGAUCAAACC
rnacentral:lncRNA from 1 species